CCUACGGGAGGCAGCAGUGGGGAAUAUUGCACAAUGGGCGAAAGCCUGAUGCAGCGAUGCCGCGUGCGGGAAGAAGGCCUUAGGGUUGUAAACCGCUUUCAGUAGGGAAGAAAAUGACGGUACCUACAGAAGAAGGUGCGGCCAACUACGUGCCAGCAGCCGCGGUGACACGUAGGCACCAAGCGUUGUCCGGAUUUAUUGGGCGUAAAGAGCUCGUAGGCGGUUUGGUAAGUCGGGUGUGAAAACUCUGGGCUCAACCCAGAGAGGCCACUCGAUACUGCUAUGACUUGAGUACGGUAGGGGAGUGGGGAAUUUCUAGUGUAGCGGUGAAAUGCGCAGAUAUUAGAAGGAACACCAGUGGCGAAGGCGCCACUCUGGGCCGUAACUGACGCUGAGGAGCGAAAGCAUGGGUAGCAAACAGGAUUAGAUACCCUGGUAGUCCAUGCCGUAAACGUUGGGCACUAGGUGUGGGUCUCAACCAACGAGAUCCGCGCCGUCGCUAACGCAUUAAGUGUCCCGCCUGGGGAAGUCGGUCGCAAGCUAAAACUCAAAGNUAUGCGNGNGAGAGCGACGACGACGACGAGGAGGAG
rnacentral:rRNA from 1 species